GAUGAACGCUGGCGGCGUGCCUAACACAUGCAAGUCGAACGGAGUUUAUAAGAUGAAGUUUUCGGAUGGAUUCUUAUAAACUUAGUGGCGGACGGGUGAGUAACGCGUGGGUAACCUGCCUCAUACAGGGGGAUAACAGUUGGAAACGACUGCUAAAACCGCAUAACAUUGCGACGGCGCAUGCCGAUGCAAUUUAAAUAUUUAUAGGUAUGAGAUGGGCCCGCGUCUGAUUAGCUAGUUGGUGAGGUAAUGGCUCACCAAGGCGACGAUCAGUAGCCGGCUUGAGAGAGUGACCGGCCACAUUGGGACUGAGACACGGCCCAAACUCCUACGGGUGGCUG
rnacentral:rRNA from 1 species